rnacentral:lncRNA from 1 species
AGAACAAAUUUUAUUAUUUCUCUCAAGUCAAAGUUUCAAUUGAUAUGAGAUUUUAGACAUAGGCUCUUUAUAUUAUAAGUGAUAUGUAUACAAAAAAUAAGCUUCAAAUUCAUCUUAAAGCUCAAGUUCUAGCUUAAAACCAAAACCCUCUAUUUCUCUAAUUUCUUCAAAAUCCUAGUUUUAGUUUAUUGGUUUUAAUCAGCCAUAUUUCACUCAUUCUAGACUCAAUUCUAUUGAUCCUUGGAUAUAAAAUAUUCAAAUUGAAGUUUAAUUUCUAAUCCGACUCCUUGAUUUCUUGCUAGUAUCUUAAAACU